rnacentral:rRNA from 1 species
GACGAACGCUGGCGGCGUGCUUAACACAUGCAAGUCGAACGGAAAGGCCCCUUCGGGGGUACUCGAGUGGCGAACGGGUGAGUAACACGUGAGUAACCUGCCCUUGACUUCGGGAUAACUUCAGGAAACUGGGGCUAAUACCGGAUAGGAAUCCUUGCUGCAUGGUGGGGGUUGGAAAGCUUCGGCGGUUUUGGAUGGACUCGCGGCUUAUCAGCUUGUUGGUGGGGUAGUGGCUUACCAAGGCUUUGACGGGUAGCCGGCCUGAGAGGGCGACCGGCCACAUUGGGACUGAGAUACGGCCCAGACUCCUACGGGAGGCAGCAGUGGGGAAUAUUGCACAAUGGGCGGAAGCCUGAUGCAGCAACGCCGCGUGCGGGGUGACGGCCUUCGGGUUGUAAACCGCUUUCAGCAGGGGCGAAGCUUGUGGUGACGGUACCUGCAGAAGAAGCACCGGCUAACUACGUG